CAGUCGCCACGGGAACACGAAGGGUGCAAGCGUUACUCGGAAUUACUGGGCGUAAAGCGUGCGUAGGUGGUGGUUUAAGUCCGUUGUGAAAGCCCUGGGCUCAACCUGGGAAUUGCAGUGGAUACUGGGUCACUAGAGUGUGGUAGAGGAUAGUGGAAUUUCCGGUGUAGCAGUGAAAUGCGUAGAGAUCGGAAGGAACAUCUGUGGCGAAGGCGACUAUCUGGGCCAACACUGACACUGAGGCACGAAAGCGUGGGGAGCAAACAGGAUUAGAUACCCCGGUAGUCCCUGUCUCUUAUUU
rnacentral:rRNA from 1 species